UACGGAGGAUGCGAGCGUUAUCCGGAUUUAUUGGGUUUAAAGGGUGCGUAGGCGGCUUAGUAAGUCAGCGGUGAAAUUUUGCAGCUUAACUGUAACAGUGCCGUUGAUACUGCCAGGCUAGGAUUUGGUUGCUGUGGGUGGAAUGUGUGGUGUAGCGGUGAAAUGCUUAGAUAUCACACAGAAUAUCGAUUGCGAAGGCAGCUCACAAAGCCAAGAUUGACGCUGAGGCACGAAAGUGUGGGGAUCAAAC
rnacentral:rRNA from 1 species